rnacentral:rRNA from 1 species
GGGGUGCUCGAGUGGCGAACGGGUGAGUAACACGUGAGUAACCUGCCCUUGACUUUGGGAUAACUUCAGGAAACUGGGGCUAAUACCGGAUAGGAGCUCCUGCUGCAUGGCGGGGGUUGGAAAGUUUCGGCGGUUGGGGAUGGACUCGCGGCUUAUCAGCUUGUUGGUGGGGUAGUGGCUUACCAAGGCUUUGACGGGUAGCCGGCCUGAGAGGGUGACCGGCCACAUUGGGACUGAGAUACGGCCCAG